GUAAGACGCAAUACCUAUACUGAUAAUGGCUCUGAACGUUCCAGUAUCAAUCAGAUGACAGUUAAUCGUUUUCCUGAUAGAUAAUUUCAAUGGUUGAUUUCAUACAGAUACGUGGAAAAUAUCUUUAUCGAUAUUCGAAUUCUGUACGAUUUAAUUGUCCGUUUUAAACUAAUGGAAUUUUUGGAACUAGAUGUUCCAUUGGCUGGUCUACUGUCAGAAGAUAUUACAAAAAACGAAAAUGUUACCAAACGGUUAUUCCUUAACCUUAAACUGGCACGGUUCUUUAACGUUGAACUAAUGGUACUAUUAUUGUUAUUAAAAACGCGCAUUUAUUAAUAGAAAAACGUUAGAUACAGGAGCAUUAAAUUAAUAAACGUAUUGUCUUGAAAAUAAAACCGAACUAUGAAAGACAAUCUAGGAUAUAAAUUUCCCGUGGCACUCGUGGUAUUGGGUUCUGGCCGUAAGUACCUGCGUAAUUUCCUAUCUACCAGUUAAAGAUUAAUUUUAAAAAGUUACUUCCCUGACUACCAUGAAGAUUACUAAUCGUCACGUGGAUAUUGCCAGAAAUAGUAUACGAAUCUUCAUGCCUGUUUUGCAGUUGAAAUUAUGCGGGUAAAGAAGGAGGAAGAUAAAAGGUGAAUGGCGCAAAGAAGAAUGAACGCACAUAUCGCGUGGGUGGUGUCGGUGGGUCUUGUAUAAUGAGAUGAGUAUCUUUAAUAGUCCGACGAUACAAGGCGGCCGGCACGUCGUGGGUAUCAAAGCCCCCUCUCGUAUCCGCCUUACACAUCGCCCUCUCUUUUCUGCUUCAAUGGAUCGAGCAUGAGUGGGUGUGAACGAAAUCUCGACUGGAUCAUCGUUUAACGGCGCUUUUGUUCUCGUAGCGGAUAAAAGGUGUUUCGCUUGAUAACAAUCAGUCUUUAUCAUUCCUUAAUGAAACGUCACAUGUAUAUACAUUUUUUCGCAAAUCCAAAGACUAGAGUUACAGAAUUGAAAUUUACCAGUGAAAUACGAUUAUUCUGCAGGAUUUCUUCGUGUUUAACGGGUGAAUCACACGUUUCUAUCCUGUUAAGAAAAUAUUCACUUUUAGAGAGAAAUACAACGCGAAAGAAAUAAAACUGCAAGUGGAUAAAAAUUACAGAUGGCUGAUUAGAAGCAAUUAAAAAAAAGGUCAAUUCUAUGCUAGGCGGUUAAACGAAGCAGAAAACAUCAGGCCUCCGCCUUUCAUCGAGAAAGUCCGGAAGAGAACCACUAAACAGAGCUAAUCGACCGGGGCCGUACUUUUAUCUCUUCAUAAUCACGCUCAUUAGUGCCGGGCCUAUUAUUACAAGUCUGCAAGAAAUAUCGAUAAGAAAAACGCUCGAUUUAGCAACCGGGCGUCGUUCUUACGUCGAACGCACGUUACGUUCUCGUUCGAUCGUAACGACCCUCGUGUGUAUAUCGGGUGUUCGACAAAUACCGCUGCCAUACAUUACAUCGUUAAACGGCGAGCGAGCAAUAAAAUGAACAAUGUUUUAUGAUUCUCAUCUAAUUAGGUCGUAAAAGGCACAAUUAUUACCGUUGGCAUCUUGUCAGAAAAUAUGUAUACUGCGUCUGAAAAAAAAAAACGCCGUAAAAAGGUGAGGGGAACCAAGGUCAGAAAAAAUUGCGCAGCUUUUCAUGUAAAUGCGAAAAAUGAGUCAGGAAGGUGUUAUCGACUGGAUGAUUAAAAAGAUGUUGGUAUCGGCGGGACGGGUAAGAGGCGAGAAAGGGCAAGAAUAUCGAUGACACACGGAAGGGACGUGUCGGUACACGAUGACGUUAUCGUUCGGCUCAUAUAGGACGCAAAACAAAGCGGUGUUUCCCCCGUGCACAUAUGCGUGGAAUGUAAAUGACGAUUAUUGCGCGAUUGGACAAGAAUUCGAGCGAUCCUGGCCGGCAACAACGCAAUAUAAAACGAAAUCGGUUCGUUUUAUCGGUAUUCGUCGAGCACUGCGUAUCGAAUCGUUUUCAAUUUUCUCUUGGCAAACGGGCGAAAAGGAAUAAUAUAUGUAUGCAAAGAAAAUAGAGCAGCAAUGGUGAGAUAAAAAUUUGUUUUCAAACGUACGGCCGGAACUAAUUUAAUUCGGCGUACUUCGCGUCAUACGAACGCGGCUUCAUUAAUAAUGGAGGACGCGUUAGCACGACAAAAUGUAUAACCGAACGUAGGUGCGGCCUGUCAACGAUUGCGUCGGAAAUACAACACUGCCAACCCAUCAUUCGACCUGUUUGCAUCGACGAAAAGAAGCGAGACAAUACCGAUUCUUCUGACGCUUCGAACGCGCAGAUAUUCAAUCGCGUCAAAAUUAUCCGCCUUACUUCAACUGUAUAUGUACAUAUUAUAUUUCGGAAUACGCUCAUAACCUAUUACAGGAAGAUUCUUGGCCCCUCUCAUUUCUAGUUUCUUACAAUAUAUCAUAUUAUAUUUUUAUACCUCUCUAUAUUAUAUCUGUUGAUUAUAUAUUUCUUUAUUAUAUAUCUUUAUUAUAUAUUUUUUAUAUAUUUCAU